GCCUGAACAGGGUGCUCUGUGGUCCUAUCCAUGAGUACUCAGGCCUGGCCCAGCCUAGCCUGUUGUCUUUCUUUCAGGCUCGGAGGCAGCAGCAGCAGCACCGCCUGGAGAACCUCCAUGGAGCCAUGUACACGUGAGGCAGCAGCUAGGGCUGAGAGCUCAGCCUCUGUGAUAUCUUCCCUUUGCACUUUGAAUCUUCAUUAAAGGUUUCUUUAACCACCCUGCAGCUGCACUGCUCACCAGCUGAAGGGGCUUCGUCCGAAUCCUCCAACCUGCUGCUAGCCAGAAAGAUGUCAAAGGUGUCAAAAGGCAGAAGGUGCCGGGCUGCAUUUCCCUCUCUGCCAGUCUCUAGACUCUGGGUGGUGGAGCCCUGGGAGCAACAAGGGCUUGGGUCUGAGUGUUCUUUUAGAAGUCAAACUGUGUCAGAUCCUGGCACUUUGUAGCUAUUUAAAACUGAUAAAUUAACUUGCACCCG
rnacentral:lncRNA from 1 species